AGGUAUAGCUCAGCUGGUCAGAGCGCUUGCUUGACAUGCAAGAGGUCGUAGGUUCAAAUCCUACUAUCUUC
rnacentral:tRNA from 1 species